rnacentral:tRNA from 1 species
GGGUCGUUAGCUCAGUUGGUAGAGCAGCGGACUUUUAAUCCGUUGGUCGUUGGUUCGAAUCCAACACGGCCUACCA